rnacentral:rRNA from 1 species
UACGUAGGGGGCAAGCGUUGUCCGGAUUCAUUGGGCGUAAAGGGCGCGUAGGCGGCCAGCACAAGUCAGUUGUGAAAUCUCCGAGCUUAACUCGGAAAGGUCAACUGAUACUGUGCGGCUAGAGUGCGGAAGGGGCAACUGGAAUUCUUGGUGUAGCGGUGAAAUGCGUAGAUAUCAAGAGGAACACCUGCGGCGAAGGCGGGUUGCUGGGCCGACACUGACGCUGAGGCGCGAAAGCCAGGGGAGCGAACGGG